rnacentral:rRNA from 1 species
UACGUAGGUGACCAGCGUUGUCCGGAUUUACUGGGCGUAAAGCGUGCGCAGGCGGUUUUGUAAGUUUGUCGUGAAAGCCCCGGGCUCAACCUGGGAAUUGCGAUGAAGACUGCAAGGCUUGAAUCUGGCAGAGGGGGGUAGAAUUCCACGUGUAGCAGUGAAAUGCGUAGAGAUGUGGAGGAACACCGAUGGCGAAGGCAGCCCCCUGGGUCAAGAUUGACGCUCAUGCACGAAAGCGUGGGGAGCAAACAGG